GAUGAACGCUGGCGGCGUGCCUAAUACAUGCAAGUCGAGCGAACGGACGAGAGGCUUGCUUCUCUGAUGUUAGCGGCGGACGGGUGAGUAACACGUGGAUAACCUACCUAUAAGACUGGGAUAACUUCGGGAAACCGGAGCUAAUACCGGAUAAUAUUUUGAACCGCAUGGUUCAAAAGUGAAAGACGGUCUUGCUGUCACUUAUAGAUGGAUCCGCGCUGCAUUAGCUAGUUGGUAAGGUAACGGCUUACCAAGGCAACGAUGCAUAGCCGACCUGAGAGGGUGAUCGGCCACACUGGAACUGAGACACGGUCCAGACUCCUACGGGAGGCAGCAGUAGGGAAUCUUCCGCAAUGGGCGAAAGCCUGACGGAGCAACGCCGCGUGAGUGAUGAAGGUCUUCGGAUCGUAAAACUCUGUUAUUAGGGAAGAACAUAUGUGUAAGUAACUGUGCACAUCUUGACGGUACCUAAUCAGAAAGCCGCGGCUAACUACGUG
rnacentral:rRNA from 1 species